AACUCACUUCUCAAUUAAUAUGCAGUGAUCAGCAGACGACAGUGCUCCCUGACGCUGGGAUUUCGCUCAGAACAGAAGCUACCACGAUAAUGGGAUCUAGUGACAAGAUUAUGGAAUAUCGAAAGGAAAAAAUUAGGAAAUUCAUGCAAUUACAACAAAAAGAAGACGAUGAAUUGUUUUUUGUAAUAGUUCCUGCCAUACUUCAGUGCCUUAAUGAUGAGAAAAGGCCAGUUCAUACUUCUGAAUAUACUGGUGCUAAAAAGAUGAAGGAAAUUCUAGAGGGGCAUGAGAGUUGGUGUAAGUCAGAGUUUCGUAUGGAGCCCGAGAUUUUAAGGCAACAUGCAACUAUCUUAGGCAACAUGCAACAUGAGAGUUGGUGUUUACAAGCUGAUGGCUGCAGAUGGUGCUUCAUUUUUGGCUUCUUUGUAUCUGGUUUUGAGACAUUGUAGUGAAGGUUGACAUGAGAAACUCUUGUAUGAACUUUGGAAUGGUUAUCUUUGGACUGCCUUGUGACAAUUUACCUUUUUA